rnacentral:siRNA from 1 species
CACAAGGUCUUACGCCGAAAAC